rnacentral:sRNA from 2 species
ACCUGAACCAUAUUGACGAACCAGUUUUGCUGGGUUAAGAACAUUUUCCUUGUUUGUGUUAUCAAAAUGCGCGUGAUGGUUUCUUGAUGCUGACGGUGAACUGCAUCGUCGAACGCACCCUGGCUGAGUCCCCAUUCAUUGGGGUGCUUUGCUUCAACCAUUCCGUAUGUGCAUGACCAGAACUGUUAUGACAGCUUCGUUAGUCCUCCGGACUCCGGCAUAUGUGUGACUGAACGUCCGUGAGCGUCAUCCUACUGGACUUAUUUCCCUGACACUUUCCUCAAGUGCAAAACAUUAGUUUCGCACGGUUCUGAUCCGACAGAAGGAAGACCCUAUGAUCAUGAUCAAACCAUGAGAGAUAUAGUUAGACAAUGGGAGGAGAAGCAACUGCUCAAUUCUCACGACCAAGAAAAUCCAAGCUAAAUAUUUAGCUUUCCUCCUUUCAAUUGGGGUUUAAUCUCUCCAAGCGCAUCGCAUCUUUCAAUCUCGCAACAUCGCUCAACACCUCGCAUGCAGGAUGUCCGAUUGACCCCUCGUUGCUUGGUAUUUGAGUUGUCAGGGAAAGCAUCUUAGCGUCGCAGCACCUUCCUGAUCCUCCAACGCCUGAAUAGAUAUAUUGGCGGCAUUCUUAGAAGAUGGAUCCGUCAUAUGUGGUGUUUCGGACAUUUAUGAAGUGACAUGUAUAUCCGCAAUCUUAUGUAUUUCCUACAUCAAUUGCAGAUACCCCUGACCUUCUCCUGGUAAUGUGAACCAGCCCUCCUGCUUUGAUCCCAUUUUGCCCGUUGAAGACAAAGACAUACCAAUUUCAGCCCACGACACAAUAUCUUCAGCUUCACAGGACAGCCUAGCUCUAGCAGCAGCCCGGAAGGUCAGAUCUUCACCGGAGCAAUGCAAUAUACCUGGUGGCUUCAGAACAGCGGGACGGGAGCAAUCAUGGCAAAAUCGAGCAAUCCCUAUAUUCCUCCUACCAUAUUCCGGAAUUACCACUGGGUCCUUAGUUCACUAAAUAUCUAUAUGAGGGUUUGAUAUCGCUCAUUGAGUGAGGAUGGAGGAUAUCCGUCGUCAGCGGCGAAGUCGUCGUCGUCGUCGUCGUCGUCGUCGUGGAACUCCACCAUGACAAAUUGCAGACGGAGGUCAUAGACAGGUUCAGGGUUAUGGGUGAUGAGAAGGAAUCUCAUGAUUGUGUUAGCAAAUGACGAGGAGUUUGGUGGGCGGCGGGACAUUUUACGUUCUUGGUCUAUUACUUAUUUCGUCAGUGUACAUCAAGACCACUUAGUCAGUGACGUGUUCAGCAUCUCCAAACCCUCACUACGGACCGUCUAGAGGCUGAUAUGGAGCCAUAGGAAUAGACCUUCUCCACGUCGUUCCUGUGGUAUUUGUCGUUGAUGAAUAUGGACUGGUCCUCUCGAGCUAGGUCGUUCGAACCAAAGUAAUCAACGCUGGUAAAACCAUUUGUUGCC